UACGGAGGGUGCAAACGUUGCUCGGAAUUAUUGGGCGUAAAGCGCACGUAGGCGGACAUUCAAGUCUAAUGUGAAAUCCCUCGGCUUAACCGAGGACGUGCAUCGGAAACUGAAUGUCUUGAGUAUGGUAGAGGAUUGCGGAAUUCCCGGUGUAGAGGUGAAAUUCGUAGAUAUCGGGAGGAACAUCAGUGGCGAAGGCGGCAAUCUGGGCCAAUACUGACGCUGAGGUGCGAAAGCGUGGGGAGCAAACAGG
rnacentral:rRNA from 1 species